GUCAACAGUUACUUUGCAAGUGUGGAAUAUCCAUAUACCUCUUGUGAGUUGUGACCAGUGUGAGCGGCCCCACCGCAAUAGGAUUGGUGGGUGAGCCGGGACCAGCAAAAAAGGAGUCUGGUGCCUUGUCGUGGCUGUGACGUUUCUUCUGACCGUCUGUUGCAUCGGUGCCCCCAACGUCCAGGAACUAAUCCCCGGUCCUAUGUGGUUUUGACCCUAAUUCACUGUGAGUGUGUGGAGUGCAGUGGGUGAGUCCUUUUCUUUGCUGUGUGUACACUUGAAGUCUGCAGUGCCGUGCUGUGUCAUGUUGUCAGUAAUCACCCUCUAGGCUGGGAGAGAAAACCCUGUGGAGAAGAAUGUGCACCGGUGUUGUGAGACGUCCGUCUUUUAUCUACAUGCCCGCUCGUGGCUUUGGACCCCUACUCCGCCGAGUGGUGACGUGUCAACAAUAGCAAGUAAGGAACAGUGUGCAUAUUGUGGGGGACGACGACUGAGAGAAGUGUUGGCUGCUAUAUGAACAUCCAGCUGUGUAGCCCUUGUGUAUGAAUACUGGUUUGUGGAGUGCUUUCAGAGGUUCGCCCCUGUCUAGAUCUCUGGUCCGUUGUCUGGAAGAUAGGAGAGGGAAGCGUUCAAGUCAUUCCUGAGUCCUACAGGUCUGAGCUUGAGGCUCUGAGUCGUCGUGGGAGUGUUUCCACGGUUGGAGGUGACCGUGUUGAGUGUUGGUCUGGGAAAUCUGCCCCGGUGAAGAAGACCACAGUUGUCGUGACAUGUACACCUUCUCUAGACUCCCGAACUGAAAAGUGCUUAAGCCUGAGAUCCACCUCUUCGAGGGUCUGUGAGUUGUAUCCAUUCAGUAUUGUCACUGUAUACCCACCUGCAUGCCCAGAGCGAGCUCGAGUUGCCCCUGUAUACCCCUCUGUACGUCUAAAGCUAAGAGCCAGCAUAUUGCCCUUGUAUACUUACCUGUAUGCCCAAAUCUAAGAGCCAGCGUAUUGUCCUUGUAUACUUACUGGUAUGCCCAGAGUCAAGCUCUAGUUGCCCUUGUAUACUCACCUGUAUGGCCAAAGUAAAGACCCAGUUGUCCUUCUGCAUAUC
rnacentral:lncRNA from 1 species